UACGGAAGGCAGCAGUGGGGAAUAUUGCACAAUGGGCGCAAGCCUGAUGCAGCCAUGCCGCGUGUAUGAAAAAGGCCUUCGGGUUGUAAAGUACUUUCAGUCGUGAGGAAGGUGUUAAGGUUAAUAACCUUAGCAAUUGACGUUAGCGACAGAAGAAGCACCGGCUAACUCCGUGCCAGCAGCCGCGGUAAUACGGAGGGUGCGAGCGUUAAUCGGAAUUACUGGGCGUAAAGGGCACGCAGGCGGUUAAUUAAGUUGGAUGUGAAAUCCCCGGGCUUAACCUGGGAAUGGCAUUCAAGACUGGUUAGCUAGAGUCUUGUAGAGGGGGUAGAAUUCCGAUGUGUAGCGGUGAAAUGCGUAGAGAUGUGGAGGAAUACCGGUGGCGAAGGCGGCCCCUGGACAAAGGACUGACGCUCAUGUGCGAAAGCGUGGGGAGCGAAACAGGGAUUAGAUACC
rnacentral:rRNA from 1 species